rnacentral:lncRNA from 1 species
GGUUUCAUCGGUGGUCUUGUAGUUGUAACUGGGAUGUUUGACUUCAUCGGUGGUCUCGUAGUUGUAGUUGGGUUGUUUGACUUCAUCGGUGGUCUUGUAGUUGUAGUUUGGUUGUUUGGCAUCAUCAAUGGUCUUGUAGUUGUAGCUGGGUUGUUUGGCUUCAUCGGUGGUCUUGUAGUUGUAGCUGAGUUGUUUGGCUUCAUCGGAUGGUCUUGUAGUUGUAGUUUGGUUGUUUGGCAUCAUCAAUGGUCUUGUAGUUGUAGCUGGGUUGUUUGGCUUCAUCGGUGGUCUUGUAGUUGUAGCUGAGUUGUUUGGCUUCAUCGGUGGUCUUGUAGUUGUAGCUGGGUUGUUUGGCUUCAUUGGUGGUCUUGUAGUUGUAGCUGGGUUGUUUGGCUUCACUGGUGGUCUUGUAGUGGUAGUUGGGGUGUUUGGCUUCGUUGAUGCUCUUGUAGUUGUAGCUGGGGUGUUUGGCUUCACUGGUGGUCUUAUAGGUCUUGUAAAUGUAACUGGGAUGUUUGGCCUCAUCGUUGGUCUUGUAGAUGUAACUGGGUUGUUUGGCCUUAUCGGUGAUCUUAUAGAUGUAACUGGGUUGUUUGUCCUCAUCAGUGGUCUUGUAGAUGUAACUAGGCUGUUUGGCCUCAUAUGAGGUCUUGUAGAUGUAAAUGGGUUGUUUGGACUGAUCGACGGUUUUGUAGAUGUAAUUGGGUUGUUUGGCGUCAUCGACGGUCUUGUAGAUGUAAUUAGGCUGUUUGGCUUCAUCGGUAGUCUUAUAGUAGUAAUUUGACUGUUUGGCUUCACCGACGGUCUUGUAGAUGUAACUGGGUUGUUUGGCCUCAUCGACAGUCUUAUGGUUGUAAUUGGACUGUUUGGUUUCAUCGACAGUCUUGUAGUUGUAAUUGAG